rnacentral:rRNA from 1 species
UACGUAGGGGGCAAGCGUUAUCCGGAUUUACUGGGUGUAAAGGGAGCGUAGACGGCACAGUAAGUCUGAUGUGAAAACCCGCGGCUCAACUGCGGGAUUGCAUUGGAAACUGUUGAGCUUGAGUACUGGAGGGGCAGGCGGAAUUCCUGGUGUAGCGGUGAAAUGCGUAGAUAUCGGGAAGAACACCGGUGGCGAAGGCGACUUGCUGGGCAGCAACUGACGCUGAGGCGCGAAAGUGUGGGGAGCAAACAGGAUUAGAUACCCCGGUAGU